AUUGAACGCUGGCGGCAUGCCUUACACAUGCAAGUCGAACGGCAGCACGGGAGCAAUCCUGGUGGCGAGUGGCGAACGGGUGAGUAAUAUAUCGGAACGUGCCCGGUCGUGAGGGAUAACGUAGCGAAAGCUACGCUAAUACCGCAUACGAUCUACGGAUGAAAGGCGGGGGAUCGCAAGACCUCGCGCGAUUGGAGCGGCCGAUAUCAGAUUAGGUAGUUGGUGAGGUAAAGGCUCACCAAGCCAACGAUCUGUAGCUGGUCUGAGAGGACGACCAGCCACACUGGAACUGAGACACGGUCCAGACUCCUACGGGAGGCAGCAGUGGGGAAGUUUUGGACAAUGGACGCAAGUCUGAUCCAGCAAUGCCGCGUGCAGGAUGAAGCC
rnacentral:rRNA from 1 species